ensembl:lncRNA
AUCCAAUUUUCUACAAAUGAAAAGCCCAGGAAAAGACAAAUGUAUAGGAAGGGGGGGGACAAGGAGAGAAAGAGAAAAAGAGAGAACGUGACAGAGAGAGAGCGAAGAGGAUACUGUAUGGGCAAAAAGAAGGAGAGUGAGUCAGGAGCCAAUCAAAAAGGUGCACUUCUGCUGCAUUUUAAUCUACCUUCGCGAGAAUCAAACACCAGGGAGCCCUGUGGGUCGAGGCACCUCGGCAAGGAAACUGCAGAGAGGAGGGCCUGAGCUGCAGUUAUCAGAUAUAUCCCCACUUUCCACUCUGUGAGAUUAAAACGGCUCGACGCGGAUCGCAGCCUCUUCGACAUAAGCAGCCGCAAUAAAGUGACGAGCCAGCCUAUAAAAAAAACUAAUUUCUUGCUCAACGGUACAGUCGCGCCGUACGAUGAGAGCAGAUGUCAAUUUAAAGCGUGGCAGCGCAUAGGGAAGCCGGCUGCCUCAUUUUCCUUUGUCAUUUCCAAGUGAGGCAAAGACACAAUGGGGCAGACUGGGCGAACGAGCAAAUGAGAGUGGCUGAUAGAGAACGAGAGGGAAGCUGGGGGGGGGAAAAAAAAAAAAAAAAAAAAAGUGUCCCUGCAGUAAUUCCUCUUCAUUUAGACCAGCCACAGCUUGAUGUAGGAGAGUGUGAAUCACACAACAAAUUGCAUCUAGGGUCUGCUGCUGCUUGUUAUCUAUCAGGGCAAUAAGACAAUGACAUCACAAAACACAUCAACAACUACAGGUUAGUGAAAAGACAUCAUGGCGUGAAGGCCUCCGUCUACUUAUAGACACCUUUAGUUCCUCUCUUUACUGUCAGGGCAGACACGCCCAACUGUUGAGUUAUUCGCUCAACUUCUCACACAUGCCCCCACGCCCCUUCAAAUUUCUCAGUUUUUUUCCCCUCUCUAUUUAUUCUUCCAAACCCUCAUCAAUUUCAAUUUCCUCCAGAGCUAAACUGAAAUGGGCGGAAGAGUGCUGGGAGAAGGUCGGGAGCCAUAUCUGGAACCAUCAAGGA